rnacentral:rRNA from 1 species
UACGAAGGGGGCUAGCGUUGUUCGGAAUUACUGGGCGUAAAGCGCGCGCAGGCGGUUUUCCAAGUCAGAGGUGAAAGCCCAGAGCUCAACUCUGGAACUGCCUUUGAAACUGGAAAACUAGGGUACGGGAGAGGUGAGUGGAAUUCCGAGUGUAGAGGUGAAAUUCGUAGAUAUUCGGAAGAACACCAGUGGCGAAGGCGGCUCACUGGCCCGUUACCGACGCUCAGGCGCGACAGCGUGGGGAGCAAAC